CUUGUUAGCCCUAAUGGUAGACCAGGCGAAGGAGGCGAGCAAUUUUGGACUCACUGCCAUGCAACUGGGCGUCGAUAACCCAGCAAACAUAAAAAUAUGUCGUCAGUGCCAGUUGGUCUUCGGAGCAGUCAGGAGGCAUGGCUUUUGCUGAACGCGACGUGUUGUCUUCCAAGACAAGGUCCUCGGAGUGGACGAGGUUCACCUCAUAUAAUGGGGGAAACGUGACAAAGGGAAGGCCUUCAGGUAUUGUUUUGGCAAGCUAGGAGAACACAUCUGACAGACAAAAAGGUUUCAUCAAAGACACACAGACAGCUCCUGAAGUAAAGGACCUACACAGGACCUUCAUAUCAAGGACAUUGACUGUGUGGAUCUCGAGGUGCAGUUACCCAAAAGUUGCUACCCACGGAAU